GCCACACUAGCUAGGGUGACUCUGAACCUUUCAAACGGACAAGGGAUUAUCAGGUAACAUUUGAUACCUUGAAGGAAAAGCUAGUUUUGGCUCCCACACUAGGAUUGCCCAAUUUACAGAAGCCUUUCAAAUUGUACAUUCAUGAAAGGUGGGGAAUUGGACUGGGAUUACUAACCCAGACUCUGGAAAACAUUCCCUGACUCCUAGUCUAUCUCUCAAAGAAGCUGCAUCACAGAGAAAAGGGAUGGCUGCUAUGUGUCUGGGAAGUAGUAGCUACUUGUGACAUAUUACAUGAAACUGAGAAGUUCACUUUGGGACAGCCAGCUACAGUACUGGUAACACACCAGGUCCUAACUUUAUUGGAAGAGAAAGGAGGGUAUUGGCUUAUGGCAGGGGACAUGGUAAAAUACCAGGCCAUUCUGUAUGACAACCAAAAUUUUACUUUGCAGACUACCACAACUUUGAAUCCUGCCACUUUGCUCCUGGACAAGGAGGGAGACUCCACCCUCCAGCAUAAUUACUUGGAAAUCAUUGGCCAAGUUUAUUCUAGCAGGCUGGAUCUACUGAGCCAACUGUUGGUGGCAUCAGACUGGGAACUGUACACAGAUGGGAACAGUUUCAUGGAAAAUGGUCAACAACAAGCAGAGUAUGCAUAAAUUAUCUUAGACAUGGUAAUAGAAGCCCAAGCCCUUGUGCCUGGAACAUCAGCACAGAGGGCUAAACUGAUAGCCCUCAUGAGAGCCUUAGAACUGUCCCAGGGAAAGGUUAACAUCUACAUGGACUGCAAAUAUGCCUUCAUGGUAGUCCACACCCAUGAAGCAAUAUGGAAGGAGAGAGGACUGUUAACCCUGGGGAACAAGAUUAUUAAACAUGCAGAGGAAAUUUUAUAAUUACUAGUGGUAGUGAUCUACCAGACCAGGUUGCUGUAAUGUACAGCCUAGGACACCAAAGGGACAGCUACCAAACAAGCUAGAGAAACCAAACUGCUGUUAAAGCAGCAAGACAGGUGUCCAAAGGGCCACUGCACCUAGGGUCUUUGUCCCCCAAUUUGGACUUUUCAAAAUUUAGACCCCAUUACACAGAAUGAGAUGAAAAACGGGCCCUUGAAUGGGGAUUCACUAACACUGACCUUAAUUUUAUAUGGAAGAUUGACACCCAUGGCAUGAUCUUAUUUCCUGAGGCUCUAGUGUAUCCCAUCCUCAAACAUCUACAUGAAGGGAUGCAGUAUGGAAGGGAUGCUUUGAUGGACUCUAUUAGGCUACAUUUAAGGUCCCUUAUUCACAAAGGACCAUUCAGAGGUCACUGAAGCCUGUCAGACAUGUGCCAGAAACAAUCCUAAGACAGAGCAUGCCCCAGUGGGAAAGGGAGUACAAUAUAAAGGGUUAUGCCCAUUUGAGGAUGGGCAAGUGGAUUUUACACAAAUGCCUAAAACCAAAGGGAUUUUCAAAUUUCUAUUAGUUUCUGUAGACAUUGUUUAUGGAUGAAUAGAAGCAUACCCCACUAGAACUGAGAAGGCAACUGAAGUAGUGAAACUUUUACUUAAAAAGUGAUUCCUAGGUUUGGAUUUCCUCACACUAUUAAGAGUGACAAUAGACUAACAUUCACUUUGGAGAUUUCCCAAGAGUUUGGACAGGCACUGCAAACAUGAUGGAAGCUAUAGGCAUCUUGGAGACCUCAGUCUAUGGGAAAGAAAGAAAAUGAAUCACACAAUUAAAAAUACCCUGGCAAAAAAUAUGCCAGUAAACACAUUUGAAAUGGGACCAGGUACUCCCUAUUGCUUUGCUCUAAAUUAGGGUGGCACCCAGAAGUGUGUUUAGGUUAAACUGUUUUGAAAUAGUUUAUGGGAGACCCUUCCAAAUCUCUGUUUUAGGAAUGCCCCAAUUAGAUAUGGAGCAUGAGUCAAAAAUUAAGCAAUAUAUUCAGCAUUUAAGGCAAACACUAACCAUUAUGCACAAAUUUGCUCAUUGCAGGCCCGCCUACACAUUUUACAAGCCCUUACACUCAUUCCAGCUGGGGGUCCAAGUCUUACUGAAACUUAAGUCCCUGAAAAGCAGGUAGCUGAGUAAUGGACUGGUCCCUAUGACAUCCUGCUGACACACACUCUUCUCUAAAGCUCAUGGGAAUUAAGCCUGGAUCCACCACACACAGAUAAAAUGGGCACCACCAGGGGAGGAUUCAAACACUGCUGCUGUGGUUGAUGCUGAAAAGGACUGCUGGACCUGCAUUCCAGAAGCAGAUUGGAAACUUCUCUUUUGGAAGAAGGCAGUACUCCCAGUGCAAAGUGACAGUGUUCCUUUAUUUGUGUGUUUGCAAAUCUAGGGACUUUUGGCUGCUUGAUAAUGAGAUAGGGUAUGGUCCUUCCCAUUGUUAAAAAGUAUAAGCAUAUUGAAAAAGAGUUAUGUUUAUUUCUAAAUGAGUAUAGAAAACUGUGAAAGUUCCAAGCCUGAAGGGAAACCUCAGUUCUUGGUUAUAGUUAUUUUUUUGCUUACUUUCUGAUCUUGGGGGAAUUAGCUAUUUUGUGCAUAUUGAGAAUCCUCUGUCUCUACCAUUAGACCAAUGGACUAGAGAAUGCCUCUGCCAUCUGGACCUAGGAAAGGUGGUCUGUUAGAGUUUGGCUGAAGCGAGAGAGUGUCUCUACCAUUGGGGCUUCAUGUCAUUUGGACCCUGGCAGAGUUAUAUGUGGCUUGGAAACACAUUAACCAGAGUUACUGGUUGGCAUGAAAUAAUGUCUCUGCCAUUUGUGCUUUGUGCCAUUUGGACCUAGAAAAGGUCAUUUGCAUUACCAGUGGUCAGGUGCCUGUUAGAGUCUGGGUAUGGUGAGAGAGCAUGUCUUUGUUGUGAGACCUGUUGGUGAGAGGUCAUGUCUCUGCUAGGAGACCAGUAGAUACAUUGGUAGGCAAGAGCAUGUCUCUACCAUUGGGGCUUUGUGCCAUUUGGAACCUGGGAAAGGUGUCUGUGUGACCAGUUGGUUAGUAAGACCAGUCGAUGUGGGACAAGGUUCUAAAGUUACUCCUAGUCCCUCCCUUUUUUUCUUUCUGCUGUUUUGUUUCUUUUUUGAAAAUAAACUGAGGCUUUCAAGGGUUAAAACUUCACAUUAAGUUAGAAAAUAAAGUACCUCAGUGUGAUGACAUCCUCAGAGGUGUUCAAUCUGUAGACAAGAAGGAUUUGUCUAAUUGUCAUGGCCUGAUACCAUUCCAGCAAAGGCCUUGCUGCUGAAUGUCUUCUCAGAAAACAAUCUUGUGCACUCAGAGAUGGUGUAGGCCCCACUUGAGAAGCCACUUGCAUCACCACCUCCUAAGACUCAGCGGUUGACUGGACUAGGUGGUUGAGUUGGUGAAUUAUGGGGUGGCCUGUUGGCUUCAUUUUGGAACUGUUUUUCUUUCCUGCCUUAAUGGUUUACAUAGAAAAGGUCCAGGAAUGUGUAAAGGGGAGAAUUGUAACAGUCCCUACUUUAGUUAUUUAGUUGUUGUGGUUCUGAUUGUGCCUUCCUAACUUUCUGAUUAAAUUUGUUACCUCCAUAAUACAACAAUGUUGCCAAUCUGUCCAGCAAUGCUAUCCUUUGGACAACAUUCACCCUUUCCAGGGACCUGGAGCUUUCACCAUCCUUCUCCUUGGUAUGACCAUUCCAGACCCCUUACAUUAGGGACCUCUGGAACAAUGGAUUGGUAGAAUUUGGCCAGCAGGAAGUAGUUACAGAAGAAUGAGACAUUUGCCCAUUUGCCCUUGUAAGAUUACAAGUGUCCACAGUGUUAAGAGGGGAAUUGUAAUGUGUGUGUUACCCUGGCAACCAGGAUGACACAUGUGGGUGCACAAAGGAUUCUGGGGGUUGCAGGAGGGGCAGGGCUGGAUACACCGGAAGUCCCUGGAGGACAGGCUCUGAGAGUGGAUCUAGGGGAAUGGCCAAGCCCUGGGGGGAGAGUAGGCAGCUGCUGGGAUUAGGAAGCAGCUGGUGGUUGGAAGUGGGUGAGAAGUCCUCGAAGGAAGAGCUGCAGAGUGAGCAUGCAGGUGGGUGCAGGGAGGCUCUGAGACUGAGCCCAGAGUGUCCUGCAUGGUGUCCACAGUUGGCUGCUGAGGGGAGUGCCAAGCCAGGGGGAAUCCAGUGAUUGAGAAGACAUCUCCUCUGCUCCCUGGCCACCAGGGGCUGGGGCUCCUGGUCUCCAGGCCUAGAAGAGAGCAGGAGGGGAGGAGAAGAUACUUGAGCUACAGGCCCUCCAUGGAUCUGUCAGGGACUGUGGGCAUGUCAGCGACUGGAAGAAGAGACAUAUGGUUGUUAAAUAAAAUAUUCCUUUCUUUUCUAGCCCUGCUUUCCAGGAAAUACUUACUAUGUAGUUUUAACACCUAGUUGUUUUUCAGAUUUUUGGUCUUGUGUUAUUUUCAGCUCUUGAAUCUAUGUGGUAGUUGUAAUAAUGAAUAUUUAAACAGCUAUUUUUGCCAGACAUUUUGCUAAUUAAAUAAAAUAUUCUUUUCCUUUCUACUGAA